GACGAACGCUGGCGGCGUGCCUAACACAUGCAAGUCGAGCGAGGUCCAACCAGUGGCAACACUGGGGACGACCUAGCGGCGAACGGGUGAGUAACACGUGAGAAACUUGCCCCGGAGUUCGGGAUAACCCGAGGAAACUCGAGCUAGUACCGAAUGCCCUCUUCUGAUCGCAUGGUCGGAUGAGGAAAGAUUUAUCGCUCCGGGAGAGUCUCGCGGCCUAUCAGCUAGUUGGUGGGGUAACGGCCCACCAAGGCAUCGACGGGUAGCUGGUCUGAGAGGACGAUCAGCCACACUGGGACUGAGACACGGCCCAG
rnacentral:rRNA from 1 species